UUUUUGUGUGAGUUGACACUAAAGAUAAUAAUGCAAAUGCAAGAGGGGACAGACAUUGCAUUGUGCUUAUUGACUUUUGUCCAAAUGAAACUGUUAUAAAUGAGACAAAAAUUAAUAACUUAUUAUUUAAUAUUUUUUAGAUUAUAAGCUGCAUUAUUAAUAAUUAAUUAAUAAAAAAAUUAUGAAAUGGAGAAAGCACUUUCAUAUUUGGUGGAAAGUGAGACCCAACCCACAUAACACUAAUUAUUGUAUCUAAAUUAACUUGCUUAAUAAUCAUCUAUAUAAAUGACUCAAUAACAUUUCUUCCUCCUAUAAACCAACUAAUAAGUCUCAUAUAACAAGUUUGAAAAGCAGCUAUAGUUAGACUGUAAAAAUGAAAGGGACAACGAUUGUUGUGUUAGUACUAGUGGUGCUGAUUGGAUCGAGCUCGGGUAUGAAUGUGAAAACUUGGGGUCUGGGGACGGAGAUGAUGAAGGAAGAUUUUCGAAAAUUGGGAGAAAUCGUUAAAAGUAUUGAUGACAAAGUUGAAGUUGGGUACCCAGGAAGUAGUGUCAAUAACCAUCACUACAUUCCUAGGCAAGAUUUCAAUAACCAUGGUGGUGAUGAUGGUGGUAAAAAAUAAAUAUAUAGAUAUAUAUAGAUCAUAAUUCAUAAAUAUAUAUUGAAUCCCUUAUAGUUAUAUAUAUAGUUGUGUAAUACAUAAAGUUUGUUCCUCUCUGGCUAGGUGAAAAAGAAUAUUGUUGUUCAUAAUGAACUAGAGUGUUUGUUAAUCUAUAUUAUAUCAUAUAGGAAUAUUGAGUGUAUGAAUUAAUAAUAAAAUUUACAUGUUGUAUUGUCUUGUAUA